CGAACGGCAGCACAGGGAGCUUGCUCCCGGGUGGCGAGUGGCGCACGGGUGAGUAAUACAUCGGAACGUGUCCUGUUGUGGGGGAUAACUGCUCGAAAGGGUGGCUAAUACCGCAUGAGACCUGAGGGUGAAAGCGGGGGAUCGCAAGACCUCGCGCAAUUGGAGCGGCCGAUGCCCGAUUAGCUAGUUGGUGAGGUAAAGGCUCACCAAGGCGACGAUCGGUAGCUGGUCUGAGAGGACGACCAGCCACACUGGGACUGAGACACGGCCCAGACUCCUACGGGAGGCAGCAGUGGGGAAUUUUGGACAAUGGGGGCAACCCUGAUCCAGCCAUGCCGCGUGCAGGAUGAAGGCCUUCGGGUUGUAAACUGCUUUUGUCAGGGACGAAAAGGACCGUGUUAAUACCAUGGUCUGCUGACGGUACCUGAAGAAUAAGCACCGGCUAACUACGUGCCAGCAGCCGCGGUAAUACGUAGGGUGCAAGCGUUAAUCGGAAUUACUGGGCGUAAAGCGUGCGCAGGCGGUUCUGUAAGACAGAUGUGAAAUCCCCGGGCUUAACCUGGGAAUUGCAUUUGUGACUGCAGGACUAGAGUUCAUCAGAGGGGGGUGGAAUUCCAAGUGUAGCAGUGAAAUGCGUAGAUAUUUGGAAGAACACCAAUGGCGAAGGCAGCCCCCUGGGAUGCGACUGACGCUCAUGCACGAAAGCGUGAGGAGCAAACAGGAUUAGAUACCCUGGUAGUCCACGCCCUAAACGAUGUCUACUGGUUGUUGGGGUUUUUUAACCUU
rnacentral:rRNA from 1 species